UACCGGCCCGCSAUUCGCCCUUUGAGUUUGAUCAUGGCUCAGGACGAACGCUGGCGGCGUGCCUAACACAUGCAAGUCGAGCGGAGACAUGUUAAGGAAGUUUUCGGAUGGAAUUGAUAUGUUUUAGCGGCGGACGGGUGAGUAACGCGUGAGCAACCUUUCUCUCAGUGGGGAAUAACACAGCGAAAGUUGUACUAAUACCGCAUGAGACCACGGCCCGGCAUCGGGGAGGGGUCAAAGAUUUAUCGCUGAGAGGUGGGCUCGCGUCCGAUUAGGUAGUUGGUGAGGUAACGGCCCACCAAGCCGACGAUCGGUAGCCGACCUGAGAGGGUGAUCGGCCACAUUGGGACUGAGACACGGCCCAAACUCCUACGGGAGGCAGCAGUGGGGAAUAUUGGGCAAUGGGGGGAACCCUGACCCAGCAACGCCGCGUGGAGGAAGAAGGUUUCGGAUCGUAAACUCCUGUCCUUGGUGAAGAGAAGGAGACGGUAGCCAAGGAGGAAGCCCCGGCUAACUACGUGCCAGCAGCCGCGGUAAUACGUAGGGGGCAAGCGUUGUCCGGAAUGAUUGGGCGUAAAGGGCGCGUAGGCGGCUAUUUAAGUCUGGAGUGAAAKUCCUGCUUUUUAAGGUGGGAAUUGCUUUGGAUACUGGAUAGCUUGAGUGCAGGAGAGGG
rnacentral:rRNA from 1 species